AACGAACGCUGGCGGCAUGCCUAACACAUGCAAGUCGAACGAGACCUUCGGGUCUAGUGGCGCACGGGUGCGUAACGCGUGGGAACCUGCCCUUAGGUUCGGAAUAACUCAGAGAAAUUUGAGCUAAUACCGGAUAAUGUCUUCGGACCAAAGAUUUAUCGCCUUUGGAUGGGCCCGCGUAGGAUUAGCUUGUUGGUGGGGUAAUGGCCUACCAAGGCGACGAUCCUUAGCUGGUCUGAGAGGAUGAUCAGCCACACUGGGACUGAGACACGGCCCAGAGUCCUACGGGAGGCAGCAGUGGGGAAUAUUGGACAAUGGGCGAAAGCCUGAUCCAGCAAUGCCGCGUGAGUGAUGAAGGCCUUAGGGUUGUAAAGCUCUUUUACCAGGGAUGAUAAUGACAGUACCUGGAGAAUAAGCUCCGGCUAACUCCGUG
rnacentral:rRNA from 1 species